rnacentral:rRNA from 1 species
GACGAACGCUGGCGGCGUGCUUAACACAUGCAAGUCGAACGGUAAGGCCCUUCGGGGUACACGAGUGGCGAACGGGUGAGUAACACGUGGGUGAUCUGCCCUGCACUUCGGGCUAAGCCUGGGAAACUGGGUCUAAUACCGGAUAGGACCCUGGGAUGCAUGUCCUGGGGGGGAAAGCUUUUGCGGUGUGGGAUGGGCCCGCGGCCUAUCAGCUUGUUGGUGGGGUGAUGGCCUACCAAGGCGACGACGGGUAGCCGGCCUGAGAGGGUGACCGGCCACACUGGGACUGAGAUACGGCCCAGACUCCUACGGGAGGCAGCAGUGGGGAAUAUUGCACAAUGGGCGCAAGCCUGAUGCAGCGACGCCGCGUGAGGGAUGACGGCCUUCGGGUUGUAAACCUCUUUCAGCACCGACGAAGCGCAAGUGACGGUAGGUGCAGAAGAAGGACCGGCCAACUACGUGCCAGCCGCCGCGGUAA